AAGGGUGUCAAGUAAAAAUAUUUUGAACUGAAAAGUUAGUGAUUAUUUUUAAGGAAAAAGUUGGCUAUAUUCUGAGUAAUUUUAAUCAAGAAUGGGCAAAUGGUCACAUGUUACUGUUUGGUUGAAGAGCACAUUGUCUCCUCAUAAAUUUCAAGCUAUUCGCCCUAGGUACACAGAUAGAAUGGAAGUAAUUAAAUAUGAUCCUCAUGUUCAGAGGAAGGUGUUGUAUAAAGAAAUGAAGAAAAUUACAAAUUUUAAACCUUAAGAGAAGUAUUUAGAGAAGAAUUCUUAGCCAUUGUAUAUAUUCAUUUGUAAUUUGUUAAAAUAAAUAAUAGUUUAAACAUUUA